CUAGGCGUCGACCGGCGCACGGGUGAGUAACGCGUAUCCAACCUGCCCACCACUUGGGAAUAACCUUGCGAAAGUAAGACUAAUACCCAAUGACGUCUCUAGAAGACAUCUGAAAGAGAUUAAAGAUUUAUCGGUGAUGGAUAGGGAUGCGUCUGAUUAGCUUGUUGGCGGGGUAACGGCCCACCAAGGCGACGAUCAGUAGGGGUUCUGAGAGGAAGGUCCCCCACAUUGGAACUGAGACACGGUCCAAACUCCUACGGGAGGCAGCAGUGAGGAAUAUUGGUCAAUGGGCGAGAGCCUGAACCAGCCAAGUAGCGUGCAGGAAGACGGCCCUAUGGGUUGUAAACUGCUUUUAUAAGGGAAUAAAGUGAGUCUCGUGAGACUUUUUGCAUGUACCUUAUGAAUAAGGACCGGCUAAUUCCGUGCCAGCAGCCGCGGUAAUACGGAAGGUCCGGGCGUUAUCCGGAUUUAUUGGGUUUAAAGGGAGCGUAGGCCGGAGAUUAAGCGUGUUGUGAAAUGUAGACGCUCAACGUCUGCACUGCAGCGCGAACUGGUUUCCUUGAGUACGCACAAAGUGGGCGGAAUUCGUGGUGUAGCGGUGAAAUGCUUAGAUAUCACGAAGAACUCCGAUUGCGAAGGCAGCUCACUGGAGCGCAACUGACGCUGAAGCUCGAAAGUGCGGGUAUCGAACAGGAUUAGAUACCCUGGUAGUCCGCACGGUAAACGAUGGAUGCCCGCUGUUGGUCUGAAUAGGUCAGCGGCC
rnacentral:rRNA from 1 species